CCCUCUCCUGGCCCCGAAGCAGGACAGAGAUUCUCAGCCAGCCUUCCUCCUGGGCUGUAAUUGACAUCGCUCAGCGGGUCAGAAUCCACUAGGUCUGGAAAUGAAGCCCGUUUGAAGGGAGCCCACAGAGUGUGUGCUCACGAGCGGGCCCCUCUGCGGACACCUGGGGUCCCUCCUGCUGGCCCGGGAGACGGCGUGGAGCAGGCCUCAGCCUCGUGCCUCUUGGGGGCCCAGGGAACCCGCAUUUCACCCUUGGUUCUCGUCAGCUUGGCUGACGGCUGCUCCUGCUGGUGUCGACUCCUCGGUGUUCUGGAACAUUCUGAGCAAGCAGGGCCUGGCAAAGGAGCCCCUCGGUGGAGAACCCCAGGCGCUUACAGUAUGAAGCCUCCAGAAUACCUGGGAAGGACCACACCUGAGGGGCCAUCAGCAUCCUCUGUGCACCCAGGUGGGAAAGCAGAGCGCACGCCGUGAUCCUGAUUAUAGAAAUGGCACCUGGGCUGGCGGUGAAUCUGUUGGUUUGGCUGCAUGUAGAGCUGCCCCAGGCUCCGGGGAAACACAGACCACUGCCUGGCCUCUGCCGGCUCCCUGGGAGCAGAGCUGUUGUGUCUCCGGAACAGCUGUUCAGAUGUGUUAACGCAAUUCCCACUCCGCUCCUUGGGCAGCAGACAUCUCCAGCAACAACUUUGACCCUGGGUCGCCAAGUUCACCGGGCCCCGAGGUGAAGAUUGGGAAAGUACUUUCCGGCAGCCAGGCCAGCCAGCAGUGCCCGUUGGCCAGGGCUUUGACCCCUGGAUGCUGGCGAGAGAUGAUCCACAGGACGUGCCAACAGGGGGUGGCGCGAGGGCUGCUCUUUCUUUCUUCCUUAUUUUGCACGCAGCCUGGGAGUGUUCAUAAAUCCAAGCUGCCUGGAAACCCUGUACAUGACGUGCAGAAUGAAAAAAGAACCAUUGAUAACUUAGUUUGUGGUUUAUGCACUUUCACUUCCCUGAUUUAGUCUGAAUUCAGAUCUGCCCCUAUAUUUGUAUCCCCAUCAAGCUAACAAUAUUUAAACAUCUAAACUGGCAAACAGUGUGGGUAAUCGGAUGAAUUUUUGUCGUGUGGUCCAACCUGAGUCAGUUUCUCAAGCGCCUUUGACAGUAUAAGGCACAUUUCUCUGAUUGUUUGCCUUCUGAGGUCUGGUAAUAGAUCAUCUCUAAACAGAGUUUAUGACAUAAUCAGCUUGAGAUUAAAAAUAUCCGUCUCAUUUUUUUGGUUUCAUGACCGCUGCUGCUUCAAACAUCCAUCACUUUGGUGUGUUUACUGUCAUAUCAAUUAUAAUAUGGCCAUAGAUCCGGAGCCAAUUAUACAAUCUCUCAUACGUUGCCCAUAAAAAGUCCUCCACUAUUUCAGCUUCUCAACUGAUGGAUCCUUUUCAUAAGAAAAUUAGAAAGCUUCCAAUAAUGCGUCUGAUAGACAACUUCUGUCUUGUCCUCAUUUCCAAAUGACACAGACAAUCUACGAAAGUAAUAGGGCUUGCUGUGUAGUGGGUCCUGAAUUGGAUCUGAAAUUUAAGAAUCUUACUUUGAAAGUAGUUGCUAAUUGGUGACAGAGGCCGACAGAGGCAUACAUCUAAAUAAAAGUGAUAUUUUCUGAA